CUUGUAAAUAAUAUGCAUUGUGCACGUAUUACACGUCCACUAACUAGGUGACCAAAAACUAGAUAUGGAUAUGACUAUAUACAUAAAAUAUUAAAGGAGGAUCCAGAAAACUUUCGACAAGUUUAUAGAAUGUAUCCAGAUAUAUUUCUAAAAUUAAGCAAUAUCAUUAGAAAAAACACCCUUACAGGAUAUUAGGUAUAUUUGUGUUGAAGAAAUGCUUGCAACGUUCGUACUUAUUGUUGGUCAAAAUACUAGAUAUUGCUUGAUUCGUCAAAAAUUUGGUCGAUCACAUUUCACUACUAGCCAAAGUUUCAACAAGAUUUUACAAACAUUAAACAAAUUUGCGAUAGAUAUGAUGGUCAAACGGGGAUUCGUUGUGCCAGAAAAAUAAGAAAAAGUACAAGAUUUUAUCCUUACUUCAAAGUAUGUGAUGAAAUAAGAUUUAUUAUAAUUUUUGUUUUAUGUUUUCAUUAGUGUUCUCGUGAAUUCUUUGUAUUGUUUUAUUAUUUUUAGGAUGGUAUUGGAGCUAUUGAUGGUACCCAUAUUCCAGCAAUGGUAACUGGGCGUGAUACAAGCAGUUAUAGAAAUCGUCAUGGAAUAAUUUCUCAAAAUGUUUUGGCCGCUUGUAACUUUGAUUUGGAAUUUAUAUACAUGAUUAGUGGGUGGGAGGGAUCAGCCCAUGAUUCUAUAGUGUUGAGUGAUGCUUUAACAAGGAGAAAUUGACUUAAAAUGCCACAAGGUACGGCUUUAUUAUUUUUUUUUUCUUUUAUCUUAUUGUUUCAUAAUUACUUGUUAACUUUACAAGUAUUUUAUAUUUGGGUAAAUAUUUUUUGGGAGACUGUGGAUUUCCAAAUCGACGUCAGUUUUUAACUCUUUUUUGAGGUGUCCGUUAUCAUCUUCAAGAUUUUGUUAGUCAAGGUCGUGACCCUGAAAAUACAAAAGAGUUGUUUAAUUUUCGUCAUGCUUCCUUGAGGAACGUAUUUGAGAGGAUAUUUGGUAUAUUUAAAUCAAGAUUUACAAUUUUCAAAACAGCUCAUCCAUUUUCAUAUUGUACACAAACCGAAAUCGUAUUAUCUUGUGCAGGAUUACACAAUUUUCUCCAGAAAGAAUGUCGAUCCGAUGAAUUUCCAAUCGAACCCGAUAACGAAGAUUCUUCAUCUUUUUCGAUUAAUAAGCGGGAAGACUUUGGACCAUUUUUUGAGAGUCAAGAACAAGAAAGAGAGAAUGCUAAUGUAUGGAGGGCUUCUCUAGCAACGGACAUGUGGAAUGAUGUUGGAAAUGUUUGAUAUUUUUUUUAUCAUUACUAAAAUACUUUUUUUUUAAUAUUUUUAUUAUUUGUUAAUCUACUUGAUAUAAGAUGAAAAAGUACUUUAUGUUUGGCGAAAUAUUUGUUAAUUUUUUUGAAAAAAAUUGACAUGAAAAAUACGAUUUAUUACUUUACAUUUUCAAUUAUAUGAGUUGUGGACGAUUUGAAUAUAUAUAAGAAGU
rnacentral:lncRNA from 1 species